UCACCUGGUCUUUGCUCCAGAGCAAAUUUAGACGUCCGCUGUUUAUGGAUGAGCGGAGAAAGUGCAAGCCAUGGUCUGCAAUACGGAAGUUCAGGUCACCAAACCAGAACACCACCCUGUGAGAGAGGGACGGAGGCUCAUUUUACCUGCUGUACAAGAACCCUCAGUUGUUUCCAUGAAGAUGUGGCUCCAGGAGUCCUCCACUAACAGGUCUGAGAUGAACCUCACAGGGGUGGCAUUCACCUCCUGCAGGCUGACACACACCAACACCAGUGAAAAACAAAUAGCGGCGCAGUGACGCCUGUAACCCUGCUGCUUUGGCCCAGUGUGACAAAUUAAAUUCCACUUUCCACAUUUUUUUUUGUUGCUCACCCAAUCACAUAGAGAUCUGAGGGGGGCUGGACGUCUAGUUGCAGCAAAGAAGUGACGUCUUCAGGAGGCUCUGCUGUGGCCACAUUCCAGGUCACCAUGUGCAGCCUGUCAAUGGGUGUUUUGGGUUAAUGACAGUAACUGACCAAAGUGUUGGAGACAUAGAAAAUCUUGACAAAUAUCAGAUUCAUUGCCACAUUUCCCCUAAAGCUUAAUCACUAACUCAGAGUAAACUCAGAGUUAGAAUAAACUCUUGAUUUUCUCAGACAAGUCAAACACUUCCUGUGUGUGUAUGAUGUCUCUCUAAUCAUGUGUAUGCAUGAGUGACCAUAUGCAUGUGUAAACCUGAAUGCAUCUGUGGGAAUGUAGCGUCCGCAGAGCUGAAAUGCUUCAUCCAGUGUGCGGGACAUUUCUUCACCAGCUUCGUCAUCAGAGCUCAAGUCCUCUAUGCAGGUCAGCAGCUGGGACAAACGCUGGCGAAGGAGCAUCUUGGACCUCGAGCCCUGAGAUGCUGAGCUGCUCAUGCUGUCUGAGCGCACACGUGGACUGUCUGUCAAGGGGUCCAUCUUUGGAUCGUAGACUGACAAAAAGGUCUUCGUGGUAUUAGCUUUGUUACCUAUCUGUCCUACUGGUCAGGGAGGUUGUUUAAGAUUACACUAAUAAAAAAAAAUAAAGAGGCUGUAUUGCAAGGGCAAGAAAGUAAAAUCCAGUGGAUAAAAUGCUUUUAGCUUGAUUCCUCCUCAGACUUCUCUGGUUGGUUUGGUUGCAGCCAUUUGAUGAGAGAGGCCUCCACUCUGCUCAGGCCACUGGAAGUAACAUGAAUCGUUUCCUUGUUAGCCAGAUCUCUCUGCAUGUGCUUCAGGCAGCUUCUGUUUUAGGUUCUCCAAACUGUCCAGGAUGGAAAAACUCAAAAAGCCCAGGGUGAAGUGCCUCUGUGUUGGUGUGGUCCUUUCUGUGGCUGAGUCCUGUGUGGUCAUGCAGCGAUGGAGCAACGAUUAACAAAGCAGUCCGGUCGACUCAGGAAUGUGGGCGAGAAUGAGUCCGAUUUGGACUAUAAUCACUGGCAUGUGAACGUGUGUGUGUGUUUGUCUUUGAGUGUGUUGCAGUCAGAGGGAGAAGAAGAGGAGGACCAGAGGCUGAUCCUCUCAUCUUUGACAAACGAGAAAAAGAAGAUGGGAGAAAAAAGAAGCUGCAGACCCCGUGGGCACAGAUGACGAAGAUCUCCAAAGGGGAGUCGAGAGACUGGAUCUGCUUUCCUGUGCUCCUUGCGCGUCUCCUCCUCCAUGCGACGAAUGUCCUCCAUGUUCAAUUCAAUCCAUUUAUCGAUCCAGCAGAACAGCUGACGGUGGAAAUUAGUGAACAAACGCUUCUCUUGCUGAGGACAACAGGAAAGGGAAGUUAAAGUCAUACUGUGGUUUGGAGAAAUUGAAUUUUUAAGUGCAAAUGAUAAAACUAAGCUGUUUGAUUAUCAGAGAUGUUUAAAUCCAGCCUGCUUUACCCUGUUUAUCCACUAGAUGCUGGUACAGCACACACUGUACAAACUGUAUGUACAGCAUGAUUGCGAGUGGUACUUUUCCACUGUCAACUCACAAUGCCAGGAUGUGAGACACUGAGUCUACUGUAUGCAUGCACAGGAUAUACAGCGCUAUGGCACAGCAGUCACACACACACACACACACACACACACACACACACGCACACGCACACGCACAGCCGAAAUACUGUCCAGGAAAGGAGAUAUUGCAAACAUUUCCUGUUUGUCCAGCAACAUGUCAAACAGUUUGUUGUUAAUAAUCUCUGCUCAGCAGCUGACCUUGACCUGUGGGUACCUGGAUGAUGUCAUAAUGAUAAUAAAGGGACAAACUGGUGGAAACUGUAAACAAACCUUCUGGAUGAAGUUCUCCACUUUAUUUUGCAGGCCCCACCACUUGAAUUUGACAGUGACCAGUUUGUAGGCACACAUGUGUGGGCAGUCUGUCCUGUUAGGAAGUUCCUUCUUGUCUCAACACAACAAGAAGAUGCUGUACCUUCCAGUCUGGGCCUAGAGGGCCUCGUCCUGUCUUCAUUGACUUGAACUUGCAAGGAUCCUCCUCUGGCUUGUAGUCCUGGAGAAACAGAAGAAAAACCAGAAUGAACGACAUGAAUAACGCAGCACAAGAGGUCUGGAGAAUGUCAGCACCUCCUAGAGGGUAAAAGCUAACUGCGCAUGUGGCCAACAGUGGUUCUACUGGACCUACAAUAUUGUCAGAAUAACUGACCUGUGUUGAGGUCUCCAUCACUGAGUGACUCCAGGACGCUGUUCAUGGCCCCCAUGUAGAACAGGAGACGAAGCUGAGUGACGGACAUGGUAACAAGACUGAGCAGGAAGAUUGGGCUGAUGAUACUUUUCAAGAAUGAUUGGGCUGCAGAGGAGAAAAAGAGGUCCAUGGUGGAGAGGCAGAGCUUGUGGCCGUCCUUAGUGGCCAGCUCCUUCUGCUUCAGGCUGUUGCCCACACUGAGACGGCGGCCUACGGUGGUCACUUGGCGGUAGAACUGCUUGCCUGUAAUUUUGUGGUCGAAGCCCAGCCAGCUGAAUUUGAUCUUCACACUGAGAGAGCAGAGGAGCAAAGAAGGAUGAGAAGCGAGCUGGGAGAUCAAACACAGGAAACAGGAGUGGGUGGCGAAAACACCCAAAUACAAAGGCAUUCACAAGCUGUUCUGUUUUCAAGAGACUGAACAACAACAAACACAUUCACUUACAUAAGACUGAGGAAGCGGAGGAAGAGUGCCUGCCUCCUGCUAUCCAAAGCUGAGCUCGGUUGUCCACAGGAACACAGAGUGCAGUAUCAGCCAACCGUUCAUCCUCAGGGCCCCAUCCAGAGGGACAAGGGGUCUCAUCUCCACUCCGUCUCCCAGACCUACUACAGCACCCUCACUUUC